rnacentral:rRNA from 1 species
AGUGAACGCUGGCGGUAGGCCUAACACAUGCAAGUCGAACGGCAGCACAGUAAGAGCUUGCUCUUACGGGUGGCGAGUGGCGGACGGGUGAGGAAUACAUCGGAAUCUACUUUUUCGUGGGGGAUAACGUAGGGAAACUUACGCUAAUACCGCAUACGACCUACGGGUGAAAGCAGGGGAUCUUCGGACCUUGCGCGAUUGAAUGAGCCGAUGUCGGAUUAGCUAGUUGGCGGGGUAAAGGCCCACCAAGGCGACGAUCCGUAGCUGGUCUGAGAGGAUGGUCAGCCACAUUGGAACUGAGACACGGUCCAGACUCCUAAGGGAGGCAGCAGUGGGGAAUAUUGGACAAUGGGCGCAAGCCUGAUCCAGCCAGACCGAGUGGGUGAAGAAGGCCUUCGGGUUGUAAAGCCCUUUUGUUGGGAAAGAAAAGCAGCAGGUUAAUACCCCGCUGUUCUGACGGUACCCAAAGAAUAAGCACCGGCUAACUUCGUG